rnacentral:lncRNA from 1 species
AAGAGACUAUCUCUAGCCUCAAGUAAAUGGAUAAUAUGCUAGAUCUUCCCCAAAGAGAUUAAAGUCUAGACUGAAGUGACCUUAGAUUCAUUGAGAAGAGACAACACUCUUUAGAUGGUGAGAAAGAGACAGAGGUGUUAAACAGAACUCUGAAGUGUGAGCUGGAAUGGAAGAAUUAUCUCAACCUCAGCAUCCUUUUUGCGUCGUUUAGGUGGCCUUAUUCUGGUUUCUACGAAAUUCAGAAGACUUCUGCAGAGGUCUGGAUAGGGUGAUGAAAAGAAGAAACCAGCAAGGCUUGAUUCUGCUGAAGCUCCCUUUAGAGUUGUGCUCUUGGGCCUUGUUGCUGACUAGGCUGGCCAGCCAGCUUUUCCAACCUGUCCAAUGAAUAUGAAGAUUGCUUCUGUUUCUAGCAGAGAAUGUAACCAGGAGUCGAGGUUUAAAAAAUAAUCUGAAUUACCAUACCUGUCUCAAGCAUGAAAUCAACAUGCAGGAUGCAAGCCUUGCCCUGUGUUGACUUUGCACUUCAGAAGCUCACUGCUAAUGUGAACGGAAAAGCAAGCGUAACUCCAAAUUCAUGGUGACUGAGUGUUUAUGUUAGUUGUUAGAUUUCUCUUUAAGAAGGAAAUCUUACCCAGGAGUGAUUUUUAACAUAUGUGUGUGUGUAUGUGUUUGAUUAUGUAUGUAAUAUAUAAUAUAUAUGUAUAUAAUAUAUAAUUAAUGCAGGUUAAACUGAAAGCACUGGCAGAUGAUGUGAAAUUGAAUAGAAACAUGUAGCAGCAGGGGAUGGGGAACUGGGGGUAGCCAUUAGAAAGUCCCAGACUCUAGGGAAUUGAGAGGCUCCCAGGAGCCAAUGGUGUUGACUUUAGCCAAAAUACCCAACUAAAGGGAGACAGAACCUGUAGAGAACACCUCCAGUAGAUAGGCACAGCCCCUAGUUGAGGGAUGGGGCCACCCAUACAUCUCAAAAAUUUUAAUCCAGAAAUUUUCCUAUCUAAAGGGAAGAUAGGGGCAAAAAUUGGAACAGAGACUGAAGCAAAGGCCAUCCAGAGACCGCCCCACCUAGGGAUUCAUCCCAUCUGCAGACACCAAAUCCCUACCUACACUAUUGCUGAUGCCAAGAAGCACUUGCUGACAAGAGCCUGACAUGGCUGUCCCCUGAGAGGUUCUACCCGCAUCUGACUAAUACAGAUGCAGAUACUCACGGUCAACCAUCAGACUGAGCACAGGAACCUCAAUGGAGGAGUUAGGGGAAGGAGCUGAAGGGAAUUGCAACCCCAUAAGAAGAACAGUAUCAACUAACUGGACCUCUCAGAACUCCCAGGGACUAAACCACCAACCAAAGAGUAUAUAUAUAUGAGGGAGCCAGGACCCUGGCUAUAUAUGUAGCAGAGGAUGACCUUAUCUGACAUCAGUGGGAAAGGGGGCUUGAUGCUCCAGUGUAGGGGGAUGCUAGAGGGUGAGGAAGGAGUGAGUAAAUGGGUGGAGGAGCACCUUUAUAGAGGCAAAGGGGAGGGGGAGGGAGGGAUGGGAUGUGGGGGUUGUGGAGGGGUAACCGGAAAGGUGGAUAUCAUUUGAAAUAUAAAUGAAUAAAAUGAUUAAUAAAAAAGUAAAAAAAAAAUAUGUGGUUACAGUUUACCUGUGUGUUUGAAGCUUUGAGAAAAGAUGGGG